AUUUGCUUAGCUAAACUUUUGGUAUUGUAGGGAACCGUUAAUGAAUUGUUAUCCUAUUUGUGGUGAGGUUCUUUAGAUUUCUGACUUGUUGAACAACAUGAUCCUCUUAACUCUUUGUUUUGAUGAAGGGACUGGAAAUCAGGUGAUGGCUGGAGGAUUCUUAACAGAUAAGCAAGCUUCAUAUGGGUGGUUCUUCAAAUUGAGUGAAAGGUCCCAUUUCAAAUUGAGUCAAAAAAAGGUAUUGGCCUAUGGACGUAGGUAUGAUCUUUUUUUGUUUUAAUAAGUUCUAAGCUGCAACUAAUGGACAUAGGUAUGAUUUUAAUUGAGGAGUUUUUGUUUCUUCAUUUUUUAAUUUAUUUCAUCUUUCUUCAUAUUUCGUUCGCAGCAAUCACAGUUUCUUCAAAGUUUUUGUCCUCUUUUUAUUCUAGCUUAGCACUUUUCACCUUCAUCUUUAAAACUUCAUCCAUGGAGGAUCGAUAAACUCUAGGAAAAUCCAGGUGCCUUAUAGUUCGAUUUGAAGUCAAAUCAAACCUGCAGGUACAUAUGUUAUAAUUUCUAUUUCUCCUUCUCUUGCGUCAUCAGGUAACUUCCUCUUCCUCACUUUCUCUGUCUCUCCUUGAUCUCUUACCGAAUUUUGUUAAUUAAACUAUAUAACUGCUUAAUUGGACCUAAAUUUUUUAUUUUCUUAUAUAACUAUUUUUUAUUUUUUAUUCACUACAUGGGAAUAAGUGCAGUGGAUGUAAUCACCACCGUGAUUAUAAGCUUGAACUUGGUUGCUAUAACAGCUUUGUUAAAUAUUUUCUUUUUGCUAUGUAUUCAUUUGGGCUUAGCUGCCAUAGUUUCUACUGGCAUUGGUGGGCUUCGUAGACAUCUAUCAUUUACUGAACCUACUGGUAAGAUCAUAUAACCUUGAUUAUACAGUGUGUGACAACAUGCAUCUCUAAUAGUGUUUGUUUGGAACAAGGAAGAGCUUAUAUGAUUUUCAAAUAAAGUUUAUUUAAUGAUCCUAGUGUAACAGAGUGGAUGUGGAUAAUCAACUUAAUUUUUUACUUCUUAAAUAACUUUAAAUUCAAAUUUGCUGUCUUUUUCACCUUUUCUCUUUAUGUUCUUUUGCCUAUUUACUUAGUGGUUGUGUAAAUGUUCGGUUCUUAUAAUUUUCAGCAGUUGUGUAAGAAUAUUUAUUAAAAAUAACAAACUUCUUAUUUCAUGUAUGAAACAGAUGCAAUUCCAAAUACUAAAAGCCUCCAAAAUCUCUUUUGGAGUCUUUGGAAGCUCUCCAUAAGGAUGACUUCUUGAAGGAAUUUAUUGGUGAUAAGUUGCUGAUUGCCAUAAAAGCACUUCGAAAGGCAGAAAUUGAUCAUUACACAAAGCUCAAAGAUGCAUACAAGUGCCCGAAAAUCGUCAAUUUGAUACAAAUUACAUUCGACUUUUCUGUAUGUAAAAACAGUAACUGCCUUAGGUGCCAUUGGAUUCAGUAACCC